GCUAAUAACCAGCUCCAGCUUAUUGCCAGAUUCUGCAAUGAGGGGCACAACCAGACAGCAGUCAAAGUCUCUGGUGCGAACAUGGUUUACCUGGACAAUUAGAAGAUGGAUUUUUGUUACUAUUUCAGGAGAAAGAAAUGAGAUCACAAGAGAAACAGAUUUAUCCUUGAGACUAUGGAACCUGAUUUAAAAAUUCCAGAAUCAUUCAAAUUGAAGGGACUUUGGGAAGUCUUUAUGUUCAACCUCCUGCUCAAGGCAGGCCAAGCCCAAAUUCAGAUCGGGCUGCUGAGGACUUGAUCAGUACUUCACAGAAGAAUGCCAGGGUGCAGCAGUGCCGGAGCACAGUGCUGGUUAGUGGUGCCUUCAGAAAGCUGCUGAGACCCUGCCUUGACUGCUAUGUAAAAAGGUAAGCAAGAACAGACAAGGCUGUCUCUAAACAGGAAUGAGGGAUACAAAUAGUUGGCUUGGGAUUUUGUUCGGUAGUAUUUUUUUAAUUUGUGGGUUUUGGUGUUUGUUUUUUUUUGUGUGUGUGCGUGGUUUGUUUGUUUUUCCCUGUUUUGUUUCAGUUUUCUUGACUUGGCUUUACUGGUGUACCAGUACUGCUUUAACCAUAAUGAAAACAGACUCCCUAAGUAAGUUUGAUACCUAUCCUGGGAAACAGCUGGGAGAAGUUAGAUACAAUGCCAACUGCUGCAACAUUAGCACUGCUGUAUCUGUAGAUGUGGCGGUGGUGCAUUCACUGUUGGGGUGCUGUGAAAACACCUCUGUCUCAUGCCAAGGUAAGCACAAAUACCCACACACGGUAUUCACCCCUUACUUUAUACCAGUUCCUCAACUUCCCUUGUUUUUCUUGCUCUGUACGGCACAGCCAAGAAGAAAGGCACACCUAAAGUCCCCGUAACGGAGCUGAAGGCUUUCUCCCUGCCUGUGACUUUUCUGUCUGAGCUGUCAGUUGAAACUUGCCAGGCACUGCUGUGUUUAAGGUCUUUGCUGGCUUUUCUCCCGUCUUCCUCCAAAGUAACUUUGUGAUGGAAGUCGUAAUUCCUCCAUCUCAGCAUGAAUUUUAGGAGUCAAUGAGCAUUUCAACUACUAAAAAAAACCUAUUGGCAAAUUCAAAAUGAUUCAUCAUCGAAUGAUUUUAGUUUGUAUCAAUGGCUGCUGUACCAGCAGGACUCUGGGAAACUUAUGAUAAUUUGUUAUCAACAGAGAGAGGCUUUUGUUUAUUGUAUCAUAGCAUGUUUAAUAUGGCUUUGAUGUGAAAUACGUUUGAAGCCUCUAUGAAAGUGCUUUAAGAUUACGAUUCUACUAAAUAAAGGAGGGAGAUAUAUUUUAUUGACACAUUUGUGUGCAUUCCAUGGCAGGAAUGAAAAAUAAUUAGCACUGGACCCAAGACACAAACUAUCUUCCAAUGAGGUAACUUUUUUUCCUCACUGUCACAAAGGAUAGGAGUGCUUCAUGUUAAUUACUUCUUAAAGAAGCCUUGAAAAAUAAAGAUGUGAUACAGUGCAUAAGAGAAGAGUUAAAAUACUGUGUCUUCUUCUAGCACAGAUGGCACCAUUUUUCAAAGCAAUUUCCCCUUUCCACUUACUCCUUUUCCCUUUCCUCUUCCUUCAGGCACUGGAGUUGAAUGGAGUUGGAUUCAAUCUCGCAUGAACUACAAAAGCAUAUGAAACAGGGCGCUCUCUGAAGUCAUCUAAACUGAACUCUUGACCUACAGGAGGGUCAACUGCAUCUAACAGAUUUCUGAGAGACAUUCGUCUGUCCUGCUUUUUAAGAUCUCCAGUGAUGGAGACUCCACAGUCUAGUACAGUAAUCCCUUCCAGUGCUUCAGAUGUUUUCACCCUUGCUGAGAGUUAAGCUGCCUGUCCACAGAGAAGAAGGUCACUUUAUUCUCUCUUUCACUGCAGUGAUGUGAAACAAGGUUUGUUUUUCUCUGGACUCUGUUCAGUAGGUCAGCAUCCUUCUUUAAUUUUCAGACUCCAAACUGUACACUCUAUUACAGUCCAGACCUUAUCAAAGAAAAGUUGUAGUAGAGAAUAAUUCUGUGUGUACUAAAGAUAGUGGUCCCAUUUGUAUGUUUCUAAGACACUUGCUUUUUCCCUGGUUUUAGUGAGUGGCCUAAAAUGAAAUACAUACAAAUUCUACUCUACAGAUCUACAGGAAGUGCCAUUCCACAUUAGCUCACUUUAGCUUGUCUCUAAUAAUGCACACACUACUUCAUGCCCAGCUUGUAACUCAGAAAAAGGAAUACUGCAAAAAGGGGCAUAAAAGCGGAGUUUUGCUGUAGGGGGACAGUGGGAAGUACUGCAGUUGGGGGUGGGUGUGUGACAGGAGGGGAGCAGAACUUGAGCAUCUAAAUGUCUUGUAUUGCCCCCCUAAUUGUUCAGGUUGGACAUUCCUGAUUUAUAUGGGCUGAGCACUCUGGAAGGGAAUUACUACCCUGCAAUUGCAACUGUUACAUAUCAAAAUAUCUCCUCAUUUCAGUGGUUCUUCAGAUCUACAGAUCCUAGAAUAUUUUUAAAAACUGUUUCCUAUAUGGCUGUCUUCUCUUGACUUCUGGGUUAUUUGACAGGAGCUUGGAAAUUAAAGAAACUGAGAGUUAUUCACUUAAGGGAUGAGGCUGAGAUUUAGCUAUCACAUUACUUAGGUGCAAGUCAUCUGCACAGCAUUUUCUUUUGCAUAUACAGGUUAUAAUUUUGGGGGCAAUUCUUUUUGGGGCAGCAUGUAUUCUUCAAAGAGAAUUGCAGAGUAAAAACCUCACUAUCUGGAAUAGCCAGGUUUUUAGUUAAUAACAGGUAUGGGCAAAGCCCUACCACUCAAGUUUCUCAUCUUCACUAGCCAGUAGCACAGUCAAUUCACACAACACCUGGUAAAAUCGUGCUGGUUUAUCUGUAUUUCUGAUCACAACUGUUCAGAAGGUUUGAUCUUGAUAGCAAAAUCUCCAUUAUGGGCAGUUUGUUAGACUUUUCAAUUUACAUCAGGAGCCUAAGGGAAAAAGAAAGCUGAAAUGGGAAGUUCAUUCAUAUUUCAUAAGCAAUUAAAUAGUUACAAAUUUAAAAGAGACGCUUACACAUUUUGAAUCUGUUUCUAUGCCUCUUCUCCCUCUCAAUUCUAUGGGAAAAUGCUUAAUUUAAAUUCAUACAUCUUGCACAGAUCAGCUAUUAAGGUAUUUUACCUGACUGUGAUUUUAGGUUAAUGACUACUUGCAGUAAUAAUAUUGAAAAAUUAUGUGAUAUCUAGUUCGUAUUUUUGCUCUCAGAGGAACGUGUGCUCUAUGAAACUUUAACAAAAAUGCUCCGCUGUGAGUUUUAGAAAAAUAUUAAUCUGUAUGAUUACCUAGGUAGAUAAAACCAAUUAAAGACAUUCAUUAAUUUGGGUACUGAUACAGCAAUAUGUUCUCCAGCUAAAUUAAACGUUACUUAUUAAACCAUCUAGAACAAAUGUUUGAAGAGAUCUGCACGACACUUAUCUCAAUCCUAGCAUCCUCAGGACAAAGACAGUUCAAGUACACAUUUGGUGAACGUAAUGCUGUGAAGUAAGAAAGAGCAGUGAAGGAUUCAGCUUAACUUGCUGCAAAGUUUGCAGCUUUCAGCAAAAUAAUCCUCGGGGCUGUGUCACCUUUCUGACAGGUGUAUAGCUGAGGAGGACAAGCUAGCAAUGCAAUCUGCUCUCCAUGCUGUUCCAUUAGACUUACUCAUCUGUGUUUGUAGCCUGAGCAAUUCUCAUCUCGUCUCAGUCUUUCAGCCCAUACAGCCAGGCCGGCCAUUGAUACAUUUCAUUUUAAUGGCUUUUCCUUUGGUAGAAUCUUAUAUUCUUGCUCUCUCACAAUCAAGUUAUGAAAAACCAGUGGAACAUCAACCUUAGCUAACCCAUUUUCUGCAAUCAGACUUCAGGUAUGAACUCUGAGCUACAGUGCACAUGGGCCCUGGCUCAACAGGCGUGCAGGCUCAUCGCACUGAGGCAGUAACAAGGUACCUGACCUGUCCUGCAGAAGAAACUGGGAAACCUCAGCAGCAUGCAGACAAGUACACGCUUGAAGGUCUUACUGAGGUAGGUCUUAGGCAAGCUGUGUCUUAGCUUGCAUUUCAAAGACUAUUUAUACCAUCACAGUUUUCCAAAACCAGUUUGUAUUUCGCUGGUUGUCUCACCAGCGGCCCAACAGCAAGAUCUCUUAGGAAAAUACGUAUUGCAUCAACUCAGGAGAGAGGGGAAAAGUGGGUAUAUUGUCUGAAAAAAACCUGGAAGUCAUCAAAAACAGAAGGUCACAGCAAUCUUAAAAGAUAGGCAACUGAAGAGAGAGAAAGCUCAAGGACAGGGUAUUUUGUACUGCCCAGGACUCUUUAAGAGGUAGCAGCUAUCAUAGAAUACUGAUUCAUUAAUAAAAUCUGACUGCUCCUUUUCAGGAAAAGAUCUAUUUUAUCCAUCAUGAAAGGCUGGUUUUAUAAUUCACAGGAGAAAACUGUGCCUUUGCUAAACAUGAGCACUCUGUGAAAUGCCUACUGGUGUAGUUUUGAUUUACAUCCCACAUUUUUUCGCCAUUCAGGAAAUGUAAGCACAGUAACUAACACCAUUAAUCACUUCAUAUCAAGCUGGAAAUAUGAAUACCUUAAAACUAUCACAACACAUCCUACUGAUUGUUUACAUUGGCAGUGGAUUAAUUUGCCAUAUGUAAAAUCCACUCCCUACUACCUUCUGUAAACAUUCAUUUAGCCCUUACUCAAUGAGUCCUUACCUCGCUGAAUGAAACUGAAUGAACUACAACCUAAACUCAGUCAAACCCACAGGCACUAGAAACCGAACCAACUCUCUUAAGAACAACAACCUCUUAGUGGUAUUUCUCCAUACUUUUGCCUCCUUUCUGGGAAGUUCUUAGACCUUUAAGAGGAAGAUGGGUGCAGGAGACAGGAUCCUCAUUGCCAUCAAGGAGAAAAGCAUUAUAAUGUCCCCAAAAGUUUUGGAAACUGGUUGCUAUUAUGGCCUCACUGGACUUGAAAUUUAAACCAGCAGGGUGUUUGCUGCGCACAUCUAAAGAUACGUUAUCCGGUACUUGGGCUGCAGAGAGGCCAAUCACCAGGUGAUUUUGACAGCCUUGAGCCAUGAAAAGUUGCAUAGACUGAAGAUUAUUUAUCCUUUUAGAGCAAAGGAAUUACAAAGAGAAGAGACGGAAUAGCUAAUUUGAAAUAACAUUCAAUAUUACGUACAUUGAGUCUCAUGUAUUUGAUUCAAAAUGAGUGUUAAUUUGGAAAAGGACCAAUGGGAGCCCCAAACCCUCUUGAGUAAUUUCCUAAAGAAAUGUAUUUCCUAGAAAUUAAACUUUGCUUUCUUAAUGAACACAUUUUGCAGAGAUGAGUUAUUGGAAUUGUCAAUUCAAAUUACCCGUGGAUGCUCCCUGCAAAAGAGUAGUCCCUUUUGAGGAUUUAUUGUAAAACAAAAUAGUAGACAAGGAUGCAUUUUAUUUGUAAGUUUCCCCCACAAGGAUGUAUCAUUAAUGUGUAUGAACUAAUAUGCAUGGCCCCCAAAUUACAUCUGUGGAGUCAUUAUAAAAAGUGCUUACUGCAUUGCCAUAGAAUUAAAUUCCCUAUACUGAAUAUAUUAUUUCAAAGCUGUCAGAAGAAAAAUUACAGACCUUGUGUAACUCCACAGGAGUUGGUGA